UCGAGGCCCGCGACCUGGAGCUGCUGAUCCAGACGGCCACCCGGGACCUUGCCCAGUAUGACGCAGCCCAUCAUGAAGAGUUCAAGCGCUACGAGAUGCUUAAGGAACACGAGAGACGGCGUUAUCUGGAGUCACUGGGAGAGGAGCAGAGAAAGGAGGCAGAGAGGAAGCUGGAAGAGCAACAGCGCCGGCACCGCGAGCACCCUAAAGUCAACGUGCCUGGCAGCCAAGCCCAGUUGAAGGAGGUGUGGGAGGAGCUGGAUGGACUGGACCCCAACAGGUUUAACCCCAAGACCUUCUUCAUACUGCAUGAUAUCAACAGUGAUGGUGUCCUGGAUGAGCAGGAGCUGGAGGCACUCUUCACUAAGGAGCUGGAGAAAGUGUACGACCCAAAGAAUGAGGAGGACGACAUGCGGGAGAUGGAGGAGGAGCGACUGCGCAUGCGGGAGCAUGUGAUGAAGAAUGUGAGGUGGGGGCCAGGCGGGGGAGAGGACGGGGCCCCAGCUCUGUCACUCACCCUUAUCUGGCUCCCCAGGUGGACACCAACCAGGACCGCCUCGUGACCCUGGAGGAGUUCCUCGCAUCCACUCAGAGGAAGGAGUUUGGGGACACCGGGGAGGGCUGGGAGACAGUGGAGAUGCACCCUGCCUACACCGAGGAAGAGCUGAGGCGCUUUGAAGAGGAGCUGGCUGCCCGGGAGGCAGAGCUGAAUGCCAAGGCCCAGCGCCUCAGCCAGGAGACAGAGGCUCUAGGGCGGUCCCAGGGCCGCCUGGAGGCCCAGAAGAGAGAGCUGCAGCAGGCUGUGCUGCACAUGGAGCAGCGGAAGCAGCAGCAGCAGC
rnacentral:sRNA from 1 species